GGCUUGCAUGCUGUAUGUAUGCGCAACUGCGUAAUUUUAUUUUUCCAGGUUUCAUUGCGUCCUGCACGAAUCUGUUUUUUUUUUUCACCUUCGAAUGAGCAUCUUAGAUAGCGCUCGUCUGCUCACGGAGGAGGGAGAGCCGAAUGCCCUCGCUUCGGGUGUUUCCAUGGAGGUUGAGGAAAACGACGACAUCGACUGGGUGAACGAUGUGUACAGGCAACUAAACGGUGCCCCGAAUUUCAACCAAAGCACGUGGUGGCAGCGUCUCAACAAGUACCGCGCCCUCGUCGGCCUUUUUUCAGGCGUUCUCAGCCUCUUCGGAGCGGGCGUUCUUGUGUGGUUCUCCAGCUGCUUCUCUGCUUUUUCGUCGUUUCGCGCAACCUGCACCACGAGCGGUAUGCUCGUGCUCGCCGCUGGUAUUCUUAUCCUUGCGACCGGCGUACUCGGCUGCGUCGCCAGCUGCUGCUGCAAACGCUCUUCCCUUUUGAUGUUCCUUGCCGCGCUGUUCUUCUCGUACGCACUUGUGUGUGGGACGUUUGUGACCUACAUGACCUAUGCUCGUUUUCACGAUCUCAAUGGGCUGCAGGCAGUGUGGGCAAAGAUGGUGGCGGCGGAGCCUGGUGUUGUGUGCGACAUAGAGAAUAAGCUCGAGUGCUCCGGUUUCAAGAAAGGGCAGUGCUGCCGUGGCGCUGCUCUGGACGAAGUCCCGCUUCGAGGUGCCGUUAUGGUGCCUACUGCUUGCUAUCUCGAGGCCGCCAACGGAACCACGUUCGACAUCGACACGCGCGAGAAGGUGGAGUGGCCGCACACCAUGUGUGCCUCGCGUUGCUCGACUGAGAACGCUAAGUAUGAUCAGACAUGUGAGGCAGUGCUGACGUCGUUGCUGAGAUCCAGGUUUUACUUUUUAAUGUUUUUGCCGUCGUCAUGCACCCUUUUCUUUCUUAUUCUCAGCGGCAUAACCAUGGCGAGUGUACGAUGGAAGCCGCGCAUUGACAAUCGUAUGCUGCACCGCUUCUAAAGCGCCGGCCUUCCCUCCCUCGUUGACCACCUUCCUCCCUCAUUACCGCUACGGCCCAGCGCGAUCUCACUGUGGUGCACACCCACGUUAGCCGGCAGAUGUAAAUGGGUGUGCCUCCAUAUCCAGGGGAAGGGCAGGAUCUGCAUUGUUGGAUCUUGCGCGCUGUCGAGGAGUACAGAGGGCAGGCAGCGUGAUGCGCACGCGCGCGUUCAUCGCGUUCUUUUUUUUUGUUCGUAGGCUAAUACUGCCGCUCGAUCCCGUUUCUGUCAGACCUGCUUUGCUGGUCCCCUGCUUGCGUACUCCCCGGAAGGCUGAGCGCUUUGCCCUCACCGGCGACAUCGAGAAACGAAACGAAGAACGGGUGCCGAAAGACGAAGGAGGAAAGGCGAAGAAGUGGAGUUGGCAUCGCUCCAGACAAUGCACUGGUACAUUGCCAACUCCUCGUGCGCAAAUGCUGUCCAGCAGCAACCGCGACAACGCAGUUGUCGUGCAAUGGGAGCACCGAUGUCUGCAACGGUACCCCAACACAGCAUCUUCAUCGACU
rnacentral:misc_RNA from 1 species